UGGGAUAGUAGGGUAGCUUGGUCCAUCCUCGAGCGUUUGGGACGCUUGGACCGCGGUUCAAAUCCGCGCUAUCCCAUCCA
rnacentral:tRNA from 1 species